rnacentral:rRNA from 1 species
UACGUAGGGUGCGAGCGUUGUCCGGAAUUAUUGGGCGUAAAGGGCUCGUAGGCGGUUUGUCGCGUCGGGAGUGAAAACCAGGUGCUUAACACCUGGCUUGCUUUCGAUACGGGCAGACUAGAGGUAUGCAGGGGAGAACGGAAUUCCUGGUGUAGCGGUGAAAUGCGCAGAUAUCAGGAGGAACACCGGUGGCGAAGGCGGGUCUCUGGGCCGAUAUUGACGCUGAGGAGCGAAAGCGUGGGGAGCAAACAGG